UACGUAGGGGGCAAGCGUUGUCCGGAAUCAUUGGGCGUAAAGCGCGUGUAGGCGGUCCGGUAAGUCCGCUGUGAAAGUCGGGGGCUCAACCCUCGGAUGCCGGUGGAUACUGUCGGGCUUGAGUACGGAAGAGGCGAGUGGAAUUCCUGGUGUAGCGGUGAAAUGCGCAGAUAUCAGGAAGAACACCCGUGGCGAAAGCGGCUCUCUGGAACGGUACUGACGCUGAGACGCGAAAGCGUGGGGAGCGAACAGG
rnacentral:rRNA from 1 species